rnacentral:rRNA from 1 species
UACGAAGGGGACUAGCGUUGUUCGGAAUUACUGGGCGUAAAGCGCACGUAGGCGGAUUGACAAGUCAGGGGUGAAAUCCCGGGGCUCAACCUCGGAACUGCCUUUGAUACUGUCAGUCUAGAGUCCGGAAGAGGUGGGUGGAAUUCCUAGUGUAGAGGUGAAAUUCGCAGAUAUUAGGAAGAACACCGGUGGCGAAGGCGGCCCACUGGUCCGGUACUGACGCUGGGGUGCGAAAGCGUGGGGAGCAAACAGGG